UCACGCUGGCGGCGUGCCUAACACAUGCAAGUCGAACGCGAAAGUGGAGCAAUCCAUGAGUAGAGUGGCAAACGGGUGAGUAACACGUGGGUGACCUGCCUUCGAGCGGGGGAUAACGUCCCGAAAGGGACGCUAAUACCGCAUAACAUCCUGCCUUUUAAGAGGUGGAGAUCAAAGCCGGGGAUUCGCAAGAACCUGGCACUUGAAGAGGGGCCCGCGUCUGAUUAGCUAGUUGGUGGGGUAAUGGCCUACCAAGGCAACGAUCAGUAUCCGGCCUGAGAGGGCGGACGGACACACUGGGACUGAGACACGGCCCAGACUCCUACGGGAGGCAGCAGUGGGGAAUUGUUCGCAUUGGGCGCAAGCCUGACGACGCAACGCCGCGUGGAGGAUGAAGACCUUCGGAUCGUAUCUCC
rnacentral:rRNA from 1 species